GAUGAACGCUAGCGGCAGGCCUAAUACAUGCAAGCUGAACGGCAAGAACUUUAGCAAUAGAGUUCCUAGAGUAGCGUAAGGGUGCGUAACACGUAUGCAAUCUACCCACAACAGGAGGAUAGCUCCCCGAAAGGGGAAUUAAGACUCCAUAACAUCAUGAGAGGGCGUCUGAUUAUGAUUAAAGUACAAGCGGUUGUGGAUGAGCAUGCGUCUGAUUAGUUAGUUGGCGGGGUAACGGCCCACCAAGACGAUGAUCAGUAGGGGAACGGAGAGGUUGGUCCCCCACACUGGCACUGAGAUACGGGCCAGACUCCUACGGGAGGCAGCAGUAGGGAAUAUUGGACAAUGGGUGCAAGCCUGAUCCAGCCAUGCCGCGUGCAGGAAGAAGGCCUUCUGGGUCGUAAACUGCUUUUACCGGGGGAUAAAAUACUCUUGCGAGAGGAAUUGAAAGUACCUGGUGAAUAAGCCACGGCUAACUACGUGCCAGCCGCCGCAGUAAAAC
rnacentral:rRNA from 1 species